GACAAGCCCUGCGUCAGGAGGUUGAGCACAGACCAUGUGGACAGCAGUGUGGUUGGCAAGUCAUUUAACUUUUCCAAACAAAUCUGCAAAAUGGAGAUAACAGCACCUGCCUCAUUGCGUUGUGAAGAAGAUGAAAUGUUUAGCCCGGUGCCCAACACCCAGUUCUCACUCUGUCAUCCAGGCUGGUGUGCAGUGGUGCAAUGUGGGCUUACUGCAGCCUUGACCUCCAGGACAAGUGAUCUCCCACCUCAGCCUCCGGAAUAGCUGGGACUACAGGUAUGCACCACCACGCCCAACUAAUUUUUAUAUAUUUUUUUU
rnacentral:lncRNA from 1 species